rnacentral:rRNA from 1 species
GUAGGAAAUUUGAGAGGAGCUGUCCUUAGUACGAGAGGACCGGGAUGGACAUACCUCUGGUGUACCAGUUGUCGUGCCAACGGCAUAGCUGGGUAGCUAUGUGUGGACGGGAUAAGUGCUGAAAGCAUCUAAGCAUGAAGCCCCCCUCAAGAUGAGAUUUCCCAACUUCGGUUAUAAGAUCCCUCAAAGAUGAUGAGGUUAAUAGGUUCGAGGUGGAAGCAUGGUGACAUGUGGAGCUGACGAAUACUAAUCGAUCGAAGACUUAAUCAAAA